CAAAAGGACCAUGGGCUCAGCCAA
rnacentral:siRNA from 1 species